GGGUUUAAAGGGUCCGCAGGCUGUUUUUUAAGUCAGAGGUGAAAUCCUACAGCUCAACUGUAGAACUGCCUUUGAUACUGGAAAACUUGAGUUAUUGUGAAGUGGUUAGAAUGUGUGGUGUAGCGGUGAAAUGCAUAGAUAUCACACAGAAUACCGAUUGCGAAGGCAGAUCACUAACAAUAUACUGACGCUCAUGGACGAAAGCGUGGGGGAGCGAACAGGAUUAGAUACCCUGGUAGUCCACGCCGUAAACGAUGGAUACUAGCUGUUCGUCUAACAUUGGUUAGAUGAGUGGCUAAGCGAAAGUGAUAAGUAUCCCACCUGGGGAGUACGGUCGCAAGACUGAAACUCAAAGGAAUUGACGGGGGCCCGCACAAGCGGUGGAGCAUGUGGUUUAAUUCGAUGAUACGCGAGGAACCUUACCAGGGCUUAAAUGUAGUGGGACAGGUCUAGAGAUAGACCCUUCUUCGGACUCAUUACAAGGUGCUGCAUGGUU
rnacentral:rRNA from 1 species